rnacentral:rRNA from 1 species
GACGAACGCUGGCGGCGUGCUUAACACAUGCAAGUCGAACGGAAAGGCCCUGCUUUUGUGGGGUGCUCGAGUGGCGAACGGGUGAGUAACACGUGAGUAACCUGCCCUUGACUUUGGGAUAACUUCAGGAAACUGGGGCUAAUACCGGAUAGGAGCUCCUGCUGCAUGGUGGGGGUUGGAAAGUUUCGGCGGUUGGGGAUGGACUCGCGGCUUAUCAGCUUGUUGGUGGGGUAGUGGCUUACCAAGGGUUUGACGGGUAGCCGGCCUGAGAGGGUGACCGGCGACAAUGGGACUACGAUACGGACCAGACGGCUACGGGAGGCAGCAGUGGGGAAUAUGGCACAAUGGGCGGAAGCCUGAUGCGGCAACGCCCCGUGCGGGAUGACGGCCUUCGGGUUGUAAACCGCUUUCGCCUGUGACGAAGCGUGAGUGACGGUAAUGGGUAAAGAAGCACCGGCUAACUACGUG